AUGGAGGAGAAAAUGAGUCUGGUCAGCAGAAAUAUGGGACCUACCUUUAAUCCUUUAAUAAUGGUCCAGAAAAUAAUUUAUCUCGUGCUGUUAUUUUGUAUCUGCCUCUGUAAUAAACAACUCAAAAUCGAGCAAAGACAUACCAACCAUAGAGGAGAAAAUGAGUCUGGUCAGCAGAAAUUUGGGACCUACCUUUAAUCCUUUAAUAAUGGUCCAGAAAAUAACUUAUCUCUUGCUGUUAUUUUGUAUCUGGCAGUUCAACCAAAGACAUCACUCCGUCCUUAGCAGGGAGAAUCACUUUUACUCUAGCCUUGGUGGAUAGCUUUAUAUAAUUUAUAUAUUUUUUAAUUUUGGUAAUAGCAACUAGCUGGCUAAGGCAAUAAGCCCUUUUUAACACAGACUAAAUAAAGAAAUCUCUCAUAUUUCAAUUAACUAACUGAACCAAAUCAUAACGAGCAUGACUGUUUCAUUUCAUUUGGCUGUUGCUCAAAGAAUGUUCACUCAAAAAAUGUUUCAUUGUUAAUAUUUAAAAUGUUCACACUAACAUUAUAAACAUUAUAACUAAUACUAUAAUGUUCAUACUAAUAUUGGAAAAUUAGAAAAACACUAAUCUGUGAUAGAAGGGCCAUUACACCAACUAAAACUCUUGUUUUUAUUGAAUUAAUGGUGUUGUCCUUGGCUUUUUACCUCUAGAAAUGUGGCAGGUGCCAGGCAAGCAAUGGGUAGGAAUGAAAGAUAGUGUGUCAUACAAAGGUACAUAUGAGUGGUCCCAUUUAUUUAAAAAUCUUGAAAUUAUCAAUAGUCUCACUGGUUGUAUGCUUUAUGCUGCAGAUUUUUUAAGUAUGUAGGUGAUAAACUAUUUCCAAUACCAUAUAUACCAUUCUUGCAAAUCAUAGUAGUCAUUGAGUAACAAUUGAUAAAUGUAAUUAAUCUUUUCUUAGGACACAUAAAGAUUGUGUAUGGGAACAUCAUAUAGUUGUCCUCAAUUUCAAAAAUUAUUAUCAUAUAGUUGUCCUCAGUUUCAAAAAUUAUUUGUAAAUUCUAUCAAAAGUCCAUCCCUCUGAUCAACUCACAAGUACAUAUAAUUCUUACAAACACUUGCAUAUAUUAUAUUAUUUUAAAAUUAGUAAUAGUCGGGAUGCUUGGGUGGCUCAGCAGUUGAGCACCUGCCUUCGACCCUGGGAGUGAUCCUGGAGUUCCAGGAUGGAGUCCCACAUCGGGCUCCCUGCGUGGAGUCUGCUUCUCUCUCUGCCUGUGUCUCUGCAUCUCUCAUGAAUAAAUAAAUAAAAUAUUUUAAAAAAUAAAAUAAAAUAAAGUUAGUAAUAAUCAUUUUAAAUAACCCAUUAUAGAAUUUAUUUCUAAGUGAUUAAACUUAUUAAUAAUCUAAUAUUGUGAAAUUCUAAAUAUAAACAUCUUUCUAUUUGUCAUUUGGUCAUCAAUAUUCAUAAAUUUCCAAAUUUCAUGCACACUUUUUUUUUUAAAUUUUCAUUUCCGCAUCUCUGAGAGCAGGUUGUGUCACAUAAUGGAUGAUAUGAAAGUACUGCAUUCUAGCUUAAUAGGACACCUUUUGUUCUCCUUCGCAGUUAGAGCAAUAGAACAUAAAAUGAUGAGGUUUCUUGUAAUCAUUGCUUCUCGAAUUCAAUGAAAUAUAGGAAGAGACAUUGUUUCCCUGGCUCACUAACUAGAUUUGUUGUAUGAUAUUAUACCUGGCCGAAAGUUGGUUAACUAUAUUCCAGGACAGAUGGGUCCAGGGUCCCACACAUGAGGGUACUUAGCACUACACUUGACAAAAAGCAAGCUUUCAACAAAUGAGAACAACUGCCUUCUUUGACAUGAAAUAUCUGAGUAUGUAUAGAAGAUGCUGAUCCUGACCCUGCUAAUUUCCUUUAUUAAAUUCCUGUUCCCAGGCCCUUCUCUUUUCUGGAAGCGUGCCUUUGUCUAAAAAACCCCCUUUACCCAGAGUAGCCUGGGAGGUUACAACUAUCUGCCUGCCUGGGGUGGGCGGGGAGGGAGGGACACAUGAACAAAGGUAGAAAAUCCCAGCUCUUUUGCCUAAAGGCAGGCAAUGCAACUGCUUCAGAGCUUCUUCCCCAGGGAUAAAGCUAAACUGGACUUCUGAAACCACGCCCUUGCCUAACUCCUCCCUUGUCCUACUCAGCUUCCCUGACUCAAAGGCUUUUCAUGAGAGCACACCUUCAAUAAAUCACUUACACAAGAUUUACAAGUGCUUCUCCUAGACAACCCUACCUAAGAGUAUGUUUCCUCAGGUUUUGGCUGGGUGUGGUAUUUCUACUGGUUUCUACAAGAUGUUUGGCCAGCAUCAUCAUCUGAAAACAACCAGUUGAGCCUUAGGGAACCAGACCUAGGGAUUUACACAUCUGCCCUCACGGUGUCAGGGGGAAACAGAUACGUAAAUAAACAAUCACAAAUUAGUAAAAUGCACGUAGAUGAAAGGUGCUAUAGAAAUACCGGAGAAAAGAGUGAAUAAUGCUGCUGGUAAUUCACUGAAAGCUAUGUUGAGAGAGUUAAAUUUGGGUGCAAUCAUGAAGACAUGAAAGUGGCUGAGAUUUGCUCAGGUAAACAAGGGGUAAGGCUGAACCAGAGAGAAAAUGCCACAUUUAGUUAAAAGAGGUUUGAGAAACCAUGUUGCGUUCACAAAUCUGCAUGUAAUGUGGCAAGAGGGAAUAAGCUGCAAACUGGCACAAGAUGAAUGUGUGUCUGUGCAUAUAUACAUACAUAGAAUUACAUAGAAUUUUCGAUCAAUUACAUGAUGGAGAACCGGAGAAAGAUAAGUAGGAAAAUAACAUAGAUUUCUUUAAAAUUUUUUAAAUUAAUUAUUUAAGUUUAGGUGAAAUAUGGAUGAGAAAAAAUUCAAAAUGUAUCACAUGAUAUAAACAUUUAGUUUAUUAAAGAAGAUUCUAACAGCAAUAUAGAGAAUGUAAGGGAAUGGAGUGGAUCUGCAGGAAGAAAGACCAUUUGAAAGAUGGGAAUAAAGGUGCCAGAAACUCUGCAGGCUGGGAGGAUACAGGCUCUAGAGGAACUGGUCAAAAAAAAAAAGGAACUGGUCUGCAAUUAAAUCUACUUAUACACUCAGAUGUGUUGGGGUCAUUCUAUUUCUUGCACUUAGUAGGUAAGUAGGUACAAAGCCAGACGCCCUACAUCUUUCAGGAUAGGUCAGAGAGUAUGGGACUCCACGUGAGAAGGGCAAAGAAAAUCUCAGUCAUCCGUCAGGCCCUAUUAUCAGCAACAGGAUCCCUCUGUGAAAAAAAGACAUUUGUCUCUCCAAUGGGGUGAAUGUUUCAGAAUAUCCAGCUCUGUAAAACCAUCCCCCCCCCAAAAAAAAAAAAACAUUCCCAUGCAGUUGAUAUCUUCCAUCUUUUCCUUAUAUUAAAGGGACUUGUAUUCUUUGAUUUCUCUGUAAAUCACCAUUAUGCUUUUGACAAGCACACAGCAACCCAUUACAAUAUCCCAGGGAAGAAGUGAUAAGGGUUAAACUAAGACAAUGAUCUAGGGAAGGAGAAAGGGAUGGGAGGAUUGGGAUGCGGCACUGAAAGAUUUAUUUGGUAUAAAUAAAAUAAAUGCAAACUGGCUAUCCUUUGGAAGUAAGAUAGGCUAAAGUAGAAAAUACCUAUUUAUGCCACCUUAAAAUCUUUAUGCUCAGAAAUGCCACAGUGCUAGCAGACUAAAAUAAUAUUAAAUAGCUCCUUGUUUGUUAAACCACAAAAGUGUAUCAGUUCACAAAACUCAAUUCAAGAGAGGCAGAUAAGAAAAAGGGAAAUAGAGACAUAAACAAAAGCUAUCUUCCUAAAUCAUGAAAGUAAGAUAUGAACAUUUAGCUAGGUCUGAAAGCUAGGAAAACAAACAAAAAAGUGUCAUUUUUCCCUUAUAAAAUUUCAUCAUUAAACUCUGGGUGUGCUAACUAUGGCCAUGAAUCAUAGCUACAUGGCACUGAUGCUACGCUACUCUACUCUCCUCUGGGAGAGGCCACUACGCCAUUGUGUUAUGAAAGCAGGUCUGAGCCCAGCCAAUGGCUAAACAUUGUCUUAGGUAUCUAAUGACCCAUGCCUUCCUGCCAAAAAUUCACAGGCUCGGCUGUGAGUUGUAUCCUCCUGU
rnacentral:lncRNA from 1 species